GUGAACCUUUACUAUAGCUUGACACUGAACAUUGAGCCUUGAUGUGUAGGAUAGGUGGGAGGCUUUGAAGCGUGGACGCCAGUCUGCGUGGAGCCAACCUUGAAAUACCACCCUUUAAUGUUUGAUGUUCUAACGUUGGCCCCUGACCGGGGUUGCGGACAGUGUCUGGUGGGUAGUUUGACUGGGGCGGUCUCCUCCCAAAGCGUAACGGAGGAGCACGAAGGUUAGCUAAUCCUGGUCGGACAUCAGGAGGUUAGUGCAAUGGCAUAAGCUAGCUUGACUGCGAGCGUGACGGCGCGAGCAGGUGCGAAAGCAGGUCAUAGUGAUCCGGUGGUUCUGAAUGGAAGGGCCAUCGCUCAACGGAUAAAAGGUACUCCGGGGAUAACAGGCUGAUACCGCCCAAGAGUUCAUAUCGACGGCGGUGUUUGGCACCUCGAUGUCGGCUCAUCACAUCCUGGGGCUGAAGUAGGUCCCAAGGGUAUGGCUGUUCGCCAUUUAAAGUGGUACGCGAGCUGGGUUUAGAACGUCGUGAGACAGUUCGGUCCCUAUCUGCCGUGGGCGCUGGAGAAUUGAGGGGGGCUGCUCCUAGUACGAGAGGACCGGAGUGGACGCAUCACUGGUGUUCGGGUUGUCAUGCCAAUGGCACUGCCCGGUAGCUAAAUGCGGAAGAGAUAAGUGCUGAAAGCAUCUAAGCACGAAACUUGCCCCGAGAUGAGUUCUCCCUGAGACUUUAAGUCUCCUGAAGGAACGUUGAAGACGACGACGUUGAUAGGCCGGGUGUGUAAGCGCAGCGAUGCGUUGAGCUAACCGGUACUAAUGAACCGUGAGGCUUAACCUUACAACGCCGAAG
rnacentral:rRNA from 1 species